AUGCAGGAAUUUGCGCCGUUUUUCCCAGGAUUUUUUUUUUUUGGGAUGAGGGUGGGGGGUUUUGGGUUUGUUUUCCGGGCAGGGAGGAGCUUCUCCCAGCAGGGAUUAUUAGGGAAAAAUAACAUCCCGAUUUCCAGGGGAGACGGAGGCUGGAAUCGCGGGCCGGGAUUUAGGCGGGGAUUGCAUUCCCGGGGUUUCAGCCGUGCCAGGGCUGGGAAUGGGGAUUUAUCCGAGAUUUAUCCGGGAUUUAUCCGAGAUUUAUCCGGGAUUUAUCCGGGAUUUAUCUGGGGUUCCAUUCCCUGUUUUUCCCAGUUAUGCAGAGAGUGGGAAUUGGGGUUUAUCCAGGAUUCCAUUCCCUGUUUUUCCAGUUGUUCCAAGGGCAGGAAUGGGGAUUUAUCCAGGAUUUAUCCAGGAUUUAUCCGGGAUUCCAUUCCCUGGGUUUCCAGUUGUUCCAAGGCUGGGAAUGGGGAUUUCUCCAGGAUUCCAUUCCCUGUUUUUCCCAGUUGUGCAAAGAGUGGGAAUUGGGGUUUAUCCAGGAUUUCAUUCCCUGUUUUUCCAGUUGUUCCAAGGCUGGGAAUGGGGAUUUAUCCAGGAUUUCUCCAGGAUUCCAUUCUCUGUUUUUCCCAGUUACGCAGAGAGUGGGAAUUGGGGUUUUUCUGGGAUUCCAUUCCCUGUUUUUUCCAGUUACGCAGAGAGUGGGAAGUGGGAUUUAUCCAGGAUUGCAUUCCCUGUUUUUCCAGUUGUUCCAAGGCUGGGAAUUGGGGUUUUUCUGGGAUUUCAUUCUCUGUUUUUUUCCAGUUAUGCAAAAGCUGGGAAUUGGGAUUUAUCCAGGAUUUAUCUGGGAUUCCAUUCCCUGGGAUUCCAUUCCCUGUUUUUCCAGUUGUUCCAAGGCUGGGAAUGGGGAUUUAUCCAGGAUUUCUCCAGGAUUCCAUUCCCUGCUUUUCCAGCCCUGCCAAGGCUGGGAAUUGGGGUUUUUCUGGGGUUCCAUUCCCUGGGUUUCCAGUUGUUCCAAGGGCAGGAAUGGGGAUUUAUCCAGGAUUUAUCUGGGAUUCCAUUCCCUGUUUUCCCAGUUGUUCCAAGGCUGGGAAUGAGGAUUCAUCCAGGAUUUAUCCGGGAUUUAUCUGGGAUUCCAUUCCCUGUUUUCCCAGUUGUGCAAAGAGUGGGAAUUGGGAUUUAUCCAGGAUUGCAUUCCCUGGGUUUUCUGGUUGUUCCAAGGGCAGGAAUGGGGAUUUAUCCGGGAUUUAUCUGAGAUUUAUCCGGGAUUUAUCCAGGAUUCCAUUCCCUGUUUUCCCAGUUACGCAGAGAGUGGGAAUUGGGGUUUUUCUGGGAUUCCAUUCCCUGGGUUUCCAGUUGUUCCAAGGGCAGGAAUGGGGAUUUAUCCAGGAUUUAUCUGGGAUUCCAUUCCCUGUUUUCCCAGUUACGCAGAGAGUGGGAAUUGGGGUUUUUCUGGGAUUCCAUUCCCUGUUUUCCCAGUUGUUCCAAGGGCAGGAAUGGGGAUUUAUCCAGGAUUUAUCUGGGAUUCCAUUCCCUGUUUUCCCAGUUGUUCCAAGGCUGGGAAUGGGGAUUUUUCUGGGAUUCCAUUCGCUGUUUUCCCAGUUAUGCAAAGAGUGGGAAUUGGGGUUUAUCUGGGAUUCCAUUCCCUGGGAUUCCAUUCCCUGUUUUUCCAGUUGUUCCAAGGCUGGGAAUUGGGGCUUUAUCCCAGAUUCCAUUCCCUGUUUUUUCCAGUUGUUCCAAGGGCAGGAAUGGGGAUUUAUCCAGGAUUUAUCCGGGAUUUAUCCAGGAUUUAUCUGGGAUUCCAUUCCCUGUUUUCCCAGUUAUGCCAAGGCUGGGAAUUAGGAUUUUUCUGGGAUUCCAUUCCCUGUUUUCCCAGUUGUUCCAAGGGCAGGAAUGGGGAUUUAUCCAGGAUUUAUCCAGGAUUUAUCUGGGAUUCCAUUCCCUGCUUUCCCAGCUGUUCCAAGGCUGGGAAUUGGGAUUUAUCCCAGAUUCCAUCCCCUGCUUUCCCAGCUGUUCCCAGUGCAGGCAAUGAGGAUUCAUCCAGCAUUUCUCCGGGAUUUCUCCAGGAUUCCAUCCCCUGCUUUUUUCCAACCCUGCAAAGGGUGGGAAUCGCAGCCGCCUGGGCUCAAUUCCUGGAAAAACGCCCUGGGAAUGUGGGGGAAAAAUCUGGGAGACGAUCCCAGCCCGUCAGCAGGGACGGCAACGGGGGGGUGCCGAGGGGGGGAUGGACUUGGAUUGGCCGAGCCUCGAGGUCUUUCCCAACGGAAAGAAUUCCAGGAUUCCAGAUGGGGCCGCCUCGGGGAUUAUUGGGGCUGGGCUGGGGGGGCUCGGAAUUCCCAGCUGGAAUUCUUUUCCCAGGAAUUUCGGCCGCAGGUGAGGACGGAGCUCUUGGAGGAGGUUGGGGAUGGGGGAGGGGGGGGAGGUUGAGGGGGUGUUUGGAUGGAUUCCCAACAUUCCCGGAGUGGUUUUUUUUUUUUCCUGGAUCCAGCACAUUCCAGUAGUUUUUCAUUCUUUCCCUUGGUUUUUCCAAAGGGGGGGGGGGGGGGGAAGGAGAAGGAGGAGGGAAUUUUUAUGGUUUUUUUUUUCCUUUCUUUUCCCGCCCACUCCCGGCUCUUCCCAGAGCCACUUCCUCUGCUUUGCUCUGGGAAUGCUCGUGGGAUGGGGCUUUCCAUGAGCUCCGGAACUUUUCCACUGACAAAAACCUUCUGGGAAUUUUUGAUCCAGCGGCAAAAGGUUGGGAAAAAAAAAAAAACCAACAAAACCAACCCCCCAAAAAAAAAAAAAACCCCAACAACAACAAAAAAAUCCGUCGGAAACGGAGCUUGGAAAGGAAACCGGGAUUGGAAAAGGGAAGCUCAGGGAAUUUUGGGUGGUUAUCCGGAGGUGUUUAUCCCAAAAAACUCUUUCCUGCUGCUUCCAGAGCUGAGAGGAGCUCGGAGAGGGACGGAUCUCAGCUGGGAUAUCCCGGGAAUUGGGGCUUUUCCUGGGAUUUCAUUCCCUGUUUUCUCAGGGAAAAGCGGGAUUUGCCUUCCCGGCGCCGGGAUCCGUCGGAUUUCCCGGUGGGUGUUUGGAGGAGGAGGGGGGGGGGGGUGAAGCUUUUCCUGCAUCCAGAGGUGACCAAAAAUUCCAGAGGGGGAGCGUUGGGAAUCUCGCCGCGCUUCAGGUACAAAAAACCGGGCAGAAAAGGGUGGAAAUCCCUGGAUUUUCCAGCGUGGGGUGGGAUCCUUGAGGAUUUUCCUGCUUUUUUUUGGGGGGGGGAUCCGGCUGCUUUCCGGGAAUUCCUCGGGAUUGGGAUGUGGGAUUGGGAUGUGGGAUUGGGAUGGGGGGGGAGGGGUUAAACCGGGCUGUUCCCGCAGGAUUUGGGGUUGGAUUUGAUUCCUCUCGGUCUCUCCCGGAGUUUUUCCCACGUGGGGAAAAAAAAAGUCCUGGAUUCGGGGAAGGAGGAGAGCGCUGCCCUCGUUCCGGCUCCCAUUCCCGAGGGAUCCCCUCCCUCUGGAAUCAGCCCCGGCUCCGUGUCCUGCUUAUCCCAGGGAUGUGGCCUGGGAAUUUUCUCCGUCUGCCCCUGGCGCUGCUUUUUUUGGAAUUUCCCUUGAAUCCAGAGGGGAAAAAAAGAAAAAAAAACCUGGCAACGAGCUCGGGUGUUGCCUUUGGGAAUUUUGGGAAUUUGAAGGGUUUUAUUCCAAGCCUGGCUUUGGAUUGGGCAAGAAAUGAAGGAAAAUAAGCGGGGAUGUGGUUCCUGGAGAGAUCCUGGGGGGGUUUUUUUAUUCCAGGGGCUUUUUUUUAAAUCCAGGGAUGAAGGAUCCGCCUCUCCCUGCUCCUUAUCCCGCUGGGAUUGAGAAUUCCAGGUUUUCCCUGUCCUUUAUCCUGCUGGGAUUGAGGAAUUCCAGCUUUUCCUGCCCACUGGGAUUGAGAAUUCCACGUUUUCCCUGUCCUUUAUCCCACUGGGAUUGAGAAUUCCAGCUUUUUCCCUGUCCUUUAUCCCUCUGGGAUUGAGAAUUCCAGCUUUUCCUGUCCUUUAUCCCACUGGAACUGAGGAAUUCCAGCUUUUCCUGCCCAACUGGGAUUGAGAAUUCCAGCUUUUCCUGUCAUUUAUCCUGCUGGGAUUGAGAAUUCCAAAUUUCCCUGUCCUUUAUCCCACUGGGGUUGAGAAUUCCAGCUUUUCCUGCCCACUGGGAUUGAGAAUUCCAGCUUUUCCCUGUCCUUUAUCCCGCUGGGAUUGAGAAUUCCAGGUUUUCCCUGCUCCUUUAUCCCACUGGGAUUGAGAAUUCCAGGUUUUUCCUGUGCUUUAUCUCGCUGGAACUGAGGAAUUCCAGCUUUUCCUGCCCACUGGGGUUGAGAAUUCCAGGUUUCCCUGUCCUUUAUCCUGCUGGGAUUGAGGAAUUCCAGCUCUUCCUGCCCACUGGGAUUGAGAAUUCCUGCUUUUCCCUGUCCUUUAUCCCACUGGGAUCAAGGAAUUCCAGUUUUCCCUGUCCUUUAUCCCACUGGAACUGAGGAAUUCCAGGUUUCCCUGUCCUUUAUCCCACUGGGAUUGAGAAUUCCAAAUUUCCCUGCUCCUUUAUCUCGCUGGGAUUGAGAAUUCCAGCUUUUUUCUGUCCUUUAUCCCACUGGGAUUGAGAAUUCCAGGUUUUCCUGCCCACUGGGAUCAAGGAAUUCCAGUUUUCCCUGCUCCUUUAUCCCACUGGGAUUGAGAAUUCCAGGUUUUUCCUGUCCUUUAUCCCACUGGGAUUGAGAAUUCCAGCUUUUCCUGUCCUUUAUCCCACUGGGAUUGAGAAUUCCAGGUUUUCCCUGCUCCUUUAUCCUGCUGGGAUUGAGAAUUCCAGGUUUUCCCUGUCCUUUAUCUCGCUGGGAUUGAGAAUUCCAGCUUUUCCUGCCCACUGGAAUCAAGGAAUUCCAGUUUUUCCUGCCCAUUUUCCCACUGGAAUUCAGCCAUUCCAGCUUUUCAUGCCCUCUGGGAUUGAGAAUUCCAGCUUUUUCUGCCCCAUUUUCCCUCUGGAAUUAAGAAUUCCAAUUUUCCCUCCCUGUUAUCCCGCUGGAACUGAGGAAUUCCAGCUUUUCCUGCCCACUGGAAUUCAGCAAUUCCAGCUUUCCCUGCCCAUUUUCCCUCUGGAAUUCAGCAAUUCCAGCUUUUCCUGCCCACUGGAAUUCAGCAAUUCCAGCUCUCCCCGUGGAUCCCAGAACUUCGCAGGUAAAAUUCCCCCUUUUUUUUUAUCCCGUGCUGGAUUUUUCCAACCUCAAUUCCCACAAAAUCCCUGCGGGGGGAGGAGGAGGAGGAGGAGGAGGAGGAGGGAGGGUGGGGGUGGAAAUUCCAACCGAAAUCGGGAAGGAAGGAAUGGAUGGGGCGGGGUGGGAAGGGGAAUUCCGGAGCCCCGGGAAUGGCCCCGGGACCGGGAAUGUCCUGAAUUCCAGGAUCGGCCUGAAUUCCAGGAUCGGCCCGAAUUCCAGGAUUGUUCCCAGCACGUCCCUGAUCCCGGGAUUCUCAAUCCCGGUGGGAAAAUGGGCAGGGAAAGCUGGAAUUGCUGAAUUCCAGAGGGAAAAUGGGGCAGGAAAAGCUGGAAUUCCUCAGUUCCAGCGGGAUAACAGGGAGGGAAAAUUGGAAUUGUCAAUCCCAGUGGGAAAAUGGGCAGGAAAAGCUGGAAUUGCUGAAUUCCAGUGGGAAAAUGGGCGGGAAAAGGUGGGAUUCUCGAUUCCAGUGGGAAAAUGGGCAGGAAAAACUGGAAUUCCUUGAUCCCAGUUGGCAGGAAAAGCUGGAAUUGUCAAUCCCUGGAUUGUCCCUGAUCCGGGAUUGUCCUGAAUUCCGGGAUUGUCCCCAGCUCUGGAAUGUCCUCGAUCCCGGGAUUCUCAAUCCCAGUGGGAAAAUGGGCAGGGAAAGCUGGAAUUGCUGAAUUCCAGAGGGAAAAUGGGGCAGGAAAAGCUGGAAUUCCUCAGUUCCAGCGGGAUAACAGGGAGGGAAAAUUGGAAUUGUCAAUCCCAGUGGGAAAAUGGGCAGGAAAAGCUGGAAUUCCUUGAUCCCAGAGGGCAGGGAAAAGCUGGAAUUGUCAAUCCCUGGAUUGUCCCUGAUCCGGGAUUGUCCUGAAUUCCGGGAUUGUCCCCAGCACAUCCCAGAUCCCGGGAUUCUCAAUCCCAGAGGGAAAAUGGGCAGGGAAAGCUGGAAUUGCUGAAUUCCAGAGGGAAAAUGGGCAGGAAAAACUGGAAUUGUCAAUCCCUGGAUUGUCCCUGAUCCUGGGAUUGUCCUCGGCCCUGGAAUUGCAGGACUGGGAUUGUCUCAGAUCCCAGGAUUCUCAAUCCCGGUGGGAAAAUGGGGCAGGGAAAGCUGGAAUUCCUCAGUUCCAGUGGGAAAAUGGGCAGGAAAAACUGGAAUUGGCAAUCCCUGGAUUGUCCCUGAUCCCGGGAUUGUCCUGAAUUCCGGGAUUGUCCCCAGCUCUGGAAUGUCCUCAGUCCUGGGAUUGUCCCUGAUCCUGGAUUGUCCCUGAUCCCGGGAUUGUCCUGAAUUCCGGGAUUGUCCCCAGCUCUGGAAUGUCCUCAGUCCUGGGAUUGUCCCUGAUCCUGGAUUGUUCCCGAUCCCGGGAUUGGCCCUGGAAUUGCAGGGCUGGGAUUGUUCCC
rnacentral:lncRNA from 1 species